CACAUCAUUAUGGAACACUGCUGAAUAAAGCUUUAUUUCGGUUUUUCAGACAGAAACCAGACUUGUUUAACUAACAGCCAUUUAGAACUGCAGCACUGCUGUUUAUAAACACUGCACAUUCAAAUGUCACCGCGUUAUUUGGUGAAAGUUAUCACCCAUGUUAGUAUGUGAACCUGACACAGAAGCUGGCUUUGGCAGGCUUCGGAGGUGGAGCAGGACUAACCAGCCAACUUUUGAGAGCUUUCACUUCUGCUGAAAAUGAAGUUACAGAGUUGUUAAGGGAACUUCUGAAAUGUAAUUCGUUGCCUCCGGAAAUUAAUUUUUUUAAGCUAUUUUUCAUAUAUUUUAAUGCUUCUGAGUCAUGUUUCCCUCCCUUCGGGGUUUGUAAGCUUAUCUUACGACCUGCAGUUCCCCAGUGCUACACUGCUGACAUUGCUGGGUUUUUUUGUGUGUGUGUGGUUUUUUUUUCGUCCCCGGGAGCUCUAACAUUGUUCUAGAAAUGUUUAAUUGGAUAACACACCAGCAGCAGUGCUGUUUUCACAUUGCUCUGUUUGGUGGUGGAGAGGGCCUAGUUCUGUUCUCAAUUCUUACUUCAGCUGCAGAGAAUCAAUAAUUCCUUGUGAUUCCCAAAGUGGAGACAACUGCUGCUUGAUGUUAAUCUCACUGCCAUCACUCUGACCUGUGUACUUUGCUUAGUGUAAUCUGCAUGUAACAACAGUAAGCAUGGAGUACGUGGGGUGUGAAAAAGAAAAAAAAUCAUCUUUGUAAGCCUAGGUCUAUAGAAACCAGAGAGCAUGUGUGUUCAGCUCUGCUCAUCAACAGUCCUGCAGCAUGCAGAGGACUUCAGACCCAUCACUGGAGGCUUUCUGUAGGUUCCAAAGGGCAUACUGCUUGCAGGACCGCGUCAUCAGAUUACACCAUCAAAUUUAUGCCAUUUUCUGGACUUAUUUCAGACUGAACAGAUGUCAUAAGGCCUGGCCCCACCUUGCUGGACUGGGAAAUAACCUCUUUACCCACACUGCCCAGUCAGUCCAGCUGGCAGCAGGCAGCCAUCCAGGAGACCAGGCAGAGUAACCCCCUGAAGGCUGUAGAGACAACCUGUUUUAGAUGCUACCAGUCUUAAAUCAGCAUAAUCCAUGAUGCUGACCAAAGUCUCUCUGUCAGGGCCAAGGGCUCACCAUGGAGAUUUACCCAGCACCCACUCAGCCUGCGCCUCAGGCUGGGAGACAGUGAGCAGGGAAUGGUAGUGACAGGUGAGAAAGAUCCAGGAAUCACUGGGUUGCACAGCGAACGCUUGAAGGAACGUGCACUGAGGACGAUAAAAGCUUUGCGCAAGGAAGGACAGCCAACAGCGCCUGUGAAGGAACAACCCAACAGCGCGUUUUCGCGCCCGCCACACUCAAGAUGGCGGCGCAGCGCUAGUCACGCCGCGCCACACUCUCCUGCACUUCCCCUUCUCGCUUCUGAUUGGCGGGUCCGCGGUGCCAGCCAAUCAGCGCGCCCGCUGCCGCUCCGAGGGCGGUGCCGCGGCCUGGCCCAGCUGGAAGCCGCGGUUGGUGGCGGGAUGAGCCGUCUCGUUCCGUGCUUGCGCUCACGGCUCCUCCUGUGCGAGUGCCGGGCGGUGUCGCGGGGGCUGCUCCGUGUCUCGCUGGCGGCCGGCCCGUGUCGGGGCACGGCGGGCUGCGGUGCCGCCUCCGACGUAAGCAUGGAGGAGCUGCUGAGCCGCUCCGUGCCGCCGCUGCCGCCCUACGAGACCAAGGAGAAGGCGCCGCCCCCGGCGGAGCUGCGCGGCGCGGAGUUCGUGCGGUACUACCGCGGCCUUCCGGCCGGGCCGCCCCGCGCUGAGCUCCUCACCCGCCUGGCCCGCGACUUCGGCGUGGACCACGGGCGGGUGGCGGAGUUCAGCGCCAAAGUGUUGCAGGCCCGGGAGCAGCAGAGGGAGCUGGGAGCCCUGCUGCAGGCCGAGGACCGGCUGCGCUACUAUCUGAACCCGCGGUACCGGGGGCUGUUCCAGCACCUGGGUCGCCUGGAGGGCGGACUGCGCUUCUUGGUGGAGCUGAGGGGAGACCUGGUGGAGGGGCUGGCGAGCAAGGCGGUGGAUGGGCCUCACGUCAAGGAAAUGAGUGGUGUUCUAAAGAACAUGCUCUCAGAGUGGUUUUCAACAGGAUUCCUAAAUUUGGAGCGGGUGACGUGGCAGUCACCUUGUGAAGUACUCCAGAAAAUCAGUGAUUCUGAAGCUGUGCAUCCUGUUAGAAACUGGGUUGAUAUGAAGCGUCGAGUGGGGUCAUAUAGAAGAUGCUACUUUUUUUCUCACUGUGCAAUCCCAGGAGAACCGUUGAUAGUCUUGCAUGUUGCAUUAACCAGUGAUAUCUCCAGCAGCAUCCAGGCCAUAGUGAAAGAAGUGGAGCCUUUAGAAACAGAAGAUGCAGACAAAAUUACAACAGCAAUUUUCUACUCAAUCAGUUUGACUCAGCAAGGACUGCAGGGAGUGGAACUUGGGACUUACCUCAUCAAACGUGUGGUAAAGGAGCUGCAGAAAGAACUUCCUCAGAUAAAAACUUUCUCCACUCUGUCGCCUAUCCCUGGCUUCACAAAGUGGCUCGUCGGUCUCCUCUCCUCACAGACAAAAGAACUGGAAAAGAACGAACUUUUUACAGAAUCAGAACGCCAGGAACUAUCUCAGAUCACAGGCGACUGUACUACUGAAACACUAAAGAAGCUCUUAAAUAACAACGAAUGGGUACGAUCAGAAAAAUUAGUCAACGCGCUCCAUUCACCGCUUAUGAGACUGUGUGCCUGGUAUUUGUAUGGGGAGAAACACCGUGGCUAUGCGCUGAACCCAGUAGCAAACUUUCACCUUCAGAAUGGCUCCGUGUUGUGGCGGAUAAACUGGAUGGCAGACACGAGCCCUCGGGGCAUUGCUGCUGCCUGUGGCAUGAUGGUGAACUACCGGUACUUCUUGGAGGAUACAGCCAGUAACAGUGCAGCCUACCUGGGGACAAAAGCCAUUAAAGCUUCAGAGCAGGUUCUUUCCUUGGUGUCGCAGUUCCAGCAGAACAGCAAGCUUUAAAACUGAGGACAAGUGUUUUUUCACUUGUAAAGAGCUGUCAUAUUUUGCAGUUCCUGUAUUUAAAUGCGAUCAUCCCUUAUAAAACAAAUUUACUCAGCACGGCAGGGUACAAAAUUAUCUAAAUUAUCAGCUGUCUUGCUUACAUUGCCAUAUAUUCAAAGCCUGAUUUGUUGCAGUUGAAUCACUCGAAGUACCAGACAUCUGUUGUGUACAAAUGAAUUGGAGAAGGUGCUGUGCUUCUCUGUCACACUGCCACCAUAGAUAGAUCAGUACUGAAGGAUCUGGAAAGAAGCGCUGCACGAAGGUAAAUUUUUUGGUCAAAUAUAUUAGCAAAACAGUAGUGUCCAAUUUUAUUUCAAUAACGCCUUUGUCUUUUUCUCCCUCAGACAAUUUAAGGUAAAACCACUAAAAUUCACACUGAAUCUUUGCUUUGUUGGAGCACUGAAAAGCCUUACAUAAAGGUUCUUGAAAAUCAGGGCUUCUCAGGGAAGCAGGUAUGUGUUGUUGUAACUGCACUUCUUUCUGUUGAGGUAUAAUGAGCAAGAAGGAAGUGUUGAAAUAAAAGAGCUGAUUAAGAGCUGCUUUAAUGAAGAGGUAGGUGUGAUCUGUAAACCAGUAAGAUAAACUUUCUCAUUAAAUCAUAUCUAGUGUAUUUCAGUGUGUACCCUGCUUCACUUGGCAGCCUUUCUUCAUAGCAGUAUCACCAGAGAACUAAGACCAUCAUCGUAACAGGUUGAUGCUGUUCUCUAAUUCCCAGUUUUCUCUCUGUCUGAUCACACCGCUGCCUUUUGCUCCCAUGGGAACAAAAGACAUUUUAAUACAACAGCUGAUCAUCAGCUGUCCUGGGCAGGGUUGCCUUCAUUGUUGUUUUCACAGCUGGAGGACUCAUGCCCAAGGAUUAAACGCUUGAAGUAUUGGAAACUUUUACUGAGAGACCUUGAAAAAAGCAGUACCAUCCUGGCCAAUCUGAGGAAGUAACUUCAGAUCCAUCACCGUAUUUUGCUUUUGGAUCUGUGCUUACUGUGCUUAGGCUGUGAGCAAUGGUAUUGAUGGCUGUCACAUAACACCCAAAGACGGAGGUGUCUAUUGGUACUAGUUGUAUGGAGUUCCACAGGAACUGUGUUCUGCUGCGUCCUGGAGAGGUAAUGAGAGACCAAAUAAUGCCUCAGCUGAGGAUAUUCAGAUUAUUUGCACACGCUGAGCUAUCACAUAGCCCUGUUAGAAGAAAGCGAUGAAAUAAAAUCUAUGUUAACAGCGAGUUAACUGAGGCUGCUGGAGCGAAAAGGACAAAGAAAUGCACAUCAUUUGCAUGUGUUAAUAGGAAUAAGGAAGCUGAAAAAAACAGACCGUGCCCAUACUCCAUCACUGCCAGCACAGCCGCUUGGAGCUGCCCCGACGCUGAUCUACUGACGCUGGCUUUGUGCCAGAGUACAUCCCGAUCAUAUAGAUGAGCCGUAAAACUGAAGAUGGAAACACCGGAGUAUUGUGUUGGAAGGACAUUUUCAAGUGGGCGUAAAGAUGUUACCUUAAACCCUUACUUAAGUUUAUGGGUGUUGGAUGCCACAUGCCCUGAAAGCUUGCUUGCCUGCUCUCUUCCCUUCAUCUGCUACCCACCCACACUGCUCCUCAGCCCUUCAGGCUGUCACCUCUCCCUUUAGUCCUUCCAGCUCAAUGGCUGUAAGUAGUAAAGUAACUAAUAUAUUCCCUAAUAUAUGGCAGCGCUCCAAAGACCUCCUUGGCAUUUGAACAAUUUGAGCCAAACCUGCUCACUGUGAGAAAAGCAUUUCCCAGAGCUGCAAAGGAGGCAUGUCAGAUGAGAUGCCGGGCUCCAGCAAGACAAUACCCCAGGAACAAGCUGAGUGAACAAGCCUUUCUCAUCCAUUAAGUGUGCUGACCCCAUGGAUCAAGUCCUGCCUUCACACGGGGCUGAGAAGAUGGUUUGUGUCUACAGGAAACUUUCUGAAGUUGAGCUUCAAGUAUGUGUGACUGAAUUUGAAUUUGCCUUGCCUGAUGGAUUCCUCCCAGUGUGGCUCUGUUGCUGUUUGGCCUCAGGUCUUUGCUACUCUCCUGCAGUUGAUUUACAGGUGGGAUUUCUGAAGUCUACAUCCAUCCAGUUCUUCAGGCAUGGGGGAAUUACCAGCACAUGGCUCAGGCACUCACCUGUGUUCCAGCAGUUUCGCUUUUAAAAUGGUCUGAACAGAUGCAGAAAACUCAGGCUUCAUUUUUCGGUCCCAGCAUCAUCUUUCAUGCUGCUCUUGGUACUCAUCUCACACAAAUAUUUAUUUACUGGUGGGAUGUUGAGCAAUAUGGCCCAGAGGUCCUCUGAAGACAUUACCAAAGGGUAUUUCUUCAGAAGUAUUCUUCAGGGCUGAAGCCAUGCUUUUGGGUCAGAUACGUGUUUCUGAAAGAUGUAUGCUGAAAAAAAAAAAGAAAAGAGAAGGAACAUUUUAUCUUAGAGCUCAUUUCUCAGCUAAACCAUAAAUGAAGGUUUUGUACUUUUAUUAACUGGUAACUAAUGCACUUAUUUAGCUUCAUGCUAACCACUGGGUGGGAAAAAAAAAUGCCCUAUACGUUUACUGGGCAUUACAGAGGUGUAUCUCCAAUUUACCUUCAGUUAGUUUUCUUUAAAUGAGGUGUCAGCCUACGUCCUCAAAGUAUUUUGUUACUGAGCACUUACACCAGUGUGCCCAGCUUCAUAAACACCAUUUUGUCAUUAGAAUUUCAUUAGGGUGAGGAACAGCAAAAUAACACUUCCUCACAUUCUGUCAAUCAAGUGACUGACACUUAUAUCACAAUCUCAGCUCAGCUCUUCAUGUGAAACUGUGGCACGUUGCUGCAAAUUUCCAGGGAGCUGCCCUUUUUCAAGAGAAAAAAAAGAAAGGAAAAAUGAUAUUUGCCUUCUCUCACUUGGGUAUGCAUGUAAACAGCAAGUGCAUUUCGUAAGCUUGUCCUGUGAGUGGCAGGCUGUUGUAGGUGGUCACACGUGUUCUAGCAAUAAGGCAUGGCAUAUUUUGCAGGAAAAUUUGCAGGAUGACUCUAAUCCAAGUAAAUCUGAAAACAGUCACUAUCUGUAAAGGGAUUAAGGUCCUAACCCAGCUCUUCUUCCAUAAUAUCUGGAGAAAAAGCUGUUGGAAAAUAAAGCAAAAUACCCACACGAGAAUACAGGAGAUGGAAAAUAACUAAGAAGAAUUAAAUAAACAGUACUUCAGAUGGUGAUCUUCUCUGUAUAAUGGUAAUGAACAGUUCUUCUGUGAAGUUAGUAUAUUUAAUCAGUUUUAUGGAUAUGUGCACACCUCUGCAUGAUGCGCUGAUGGUCUGUGCUCUUUCAGCUGUGUUUCGUGCCUUAGGGUGGAGGUGCUUUUCUGCUUCUUGAUGAGUACAGAAGCUUCAGGAUGUAGCAGAGAGGUCCUGGGGACGUUUCAGAAUAAGAACAACAGUAUCAAUAAAGAAGAGGAAGCCAAAGUUGACUGCAGGAGAAAACCAGAUUAAGGGGAAAGUUAUCACAGGCCUCACUUCUGCUGGGUCAGUGUCGGUCUGCCCCGGAGGUCCUUGAAGUUUCUCUUGAUGAAUUUGAAAUCACAGAGGUUGUUUUGUGUGUGUGUGUGCUCAAACAAGGAAUGUGCUUAUGUAUUUUUAAACAAUGUGUUGUUUUGUUUGGUGUGUUGUUCUGUGAGGAGAGUUUUGUUGUGCGUUCAGGGUGGGCACAUGAACACAUUAGAUAAGCAUGCGGUCUGAGAAGUGCUGCCGGAAGAGGAAAACAAAAGAAAAUCAGGGGCCAAAACAAAGCCUAUCAAAAAUAAUAAUAACCUGAGGAUGUGUGUAUACAUUCAGAUGCUGUACGUCUUCUGCAGGUUAUUAUAGGAGUGAUCUGAGUUAUAUUUUGAAGCUUUUCUUAUGAAUAGAGAGGCGUGGAGGAAUGUAAUAUGUUUAGCUUGUCAGAAUACCAGCGAGAGGGUGAAAAUCAGAGGAACCUUCAGAGGAUUUAGCACCACCUCAUUGAUUCAGUGGGACUUCAGCAGCUUAGCCUGGCUAGAAUAUAACCCAAUAAGUGUAAAAAAAACCACAUUAAGCCACAUAAAGAGAUGAAGUUAAGCAGCAUGAAGCUUGUUUUUGCAAUCCUUCCUUAAGUGCUCGGGGUUGCUUUUUUUAUGAGUAAAGGAGUUUGUCUUGAAAUUUGUCCAGAGUGACAGGGAACAGCUGAGCAGAGAAGUUGUGAGAAGCCCAAAAUGUUAACAAAAAUAAAAUUUCAAACCUUAAUUUUUCUCACUAAUUGCCCCCUCAAGAAUCCAGCAUCUGGUUCUUCCCUUCUUUCUGUUCCAGGGCAGCACUUUGUUGGAAGCCAUCUACACGAAAGCAUGCACGCUACCUGUUUAUAGGUUUUUUCCUCCAGUAAGGUCCCAUAAUUCUUUCUAAUCUACUUAAAGGAUUUAGCCAAAGUAUUAACAUGAGCCCGAAGGGAUAAUGUUGUUAUUCUAUCAUAGAAUAACAUGAAUAUCCUUUAAUAUAGGUAGUGUUUGUCGUCCAUACCUCAACUUUUCUAUACUCUACCACUUCCUUUUCUUCCCCUGUUCUUUAUUUUCACUUCAGCAGUAGAUCAGUUAUUUCCAUCUCUGCUUAGUCAGAUGAUCAAUAAUUCAAUACGCAAUAUUUCCCAAACAAACCCCUUAAGGACGCCUGGGAGGUCAAUGAAUACACUCUCGAGGGAUCUUUCAGUCUUUACUUUUUGCCAGCUCUGGUGCAGAGUGAGUAUGUGCCGAGUCUUAAGCCAAGUGAGCGGUUUCCUUUCUUUGACUUACUGAUGUACCCCGAUGACUGAGGGCUACUGGUUCUAUCAAUGUUGUAUCCAAUUACAUCAUACAAAUCCAGCCUCCAUUAUCCGUACUCUAAGGCAGAUGUGGACUAGCUCCAUUUUGGAAACUGUACAUGUAUAUUAAUGAAGGGAUUGGUUCGAGCUCAUAAGCUUUGUUGAUAAGCUAACUUGGGCAUGAGUCUGGACCCAUGUGUUUGAGCAGGCUGACAUCCUACCAGCUACAACACAGGCAAUCCAUGUUUGCUAUCCCCUCACCUCUCCCAAGGGGAGAUGAUCAGAGGGGACAAGCAAUGAAGCCAGGGGUCAGUGUGUAUGGAGGAGAGCCAGGGCUCUGCCAGAUCUCCUCUGCAAGCACCACCAGGUCAAGAGCUCAAGUCUGAGUCGCAUCCUUUGCAGACCCUGGAGAUACACUGACAGUAGUCAUUCUAAUACAGCAUUAGACUCAUGUUGAACCAGGAAGGCACUAGAUCUGUAGGCACUAAGGUUUCUAAUCCAUCACUUUUUAGGAUGUUUUGAGAGGCAGGAAAUACAUUUCUUCUUCAUCUCAGUGCCUCUUCAAAAGGUUUACCAUAAACCUUGUUUGCAAUUGGCAAUUCUGGCCAAUGAUUCUAAGGUUUGAUUUGGCAUCUGAACUUAUAAAAUAAUGAACAUAAUUCUUCCAUCCUCCACUGAACAGCUGGUGCUAACUUAUUAAAAGGCAACCUCAUUCUGCACUAACUUUAGUUGGUUUUUUAGCUAUUCCACCCUCUGAAUGGCAUGUUUACUCAAUAUUCUUUCUUUCUUCUAUACUUCAACUAGCCUUUCUUCUAUUUACUUAUCUGCAUUUCAGUACCUACUGUUCUGUAUGAUGUCAGAUGCAUCGCUUCAUGUAGUAUUACCUUUCAUCUAUAGCCUACUAUUGACCCAAAUGCUGUCAUCCUUCUUGACUUCUCACUCUAUGAUGUUCCUGAAUUGCUUUUAAGAUCAACAAUUUGCAACCCUUUCUAACUGAUCUCCCUCUGCUACCACUCCGUGUUUGAAAACUUCUCAUUUUCUUGUUAUGCUGCACCUCCUCACUGCUGUCUGCCAUCCCAUCUGCUCUCUUUUCCUUGAGACCUCAGUCUGUUCUGUAUACGUUUUUAUUCACACAAUACCUGUUAGUGUCAUUGGUCCUCUGUGCCACAGCGGAUGCUUAGGGAGCCUUGGCAUUCAGCUUUCCCAGAUAAGAUGUCAGCAACACAAGAUCAGGUUGUAUGGUUAUCUUAAAACUGGGUAUAGUAGUCAUGUGAAGAGAGAGUCCCACAGUUAGUGCAUGCAACCAUUCCAGUAAUUAGCCCAUACAACAGAGAUUUAUCCUAACUGGAAGUACUUUGCGUCACACUGGAUUCUCUCUUCUUACCUACUGCAGCCUCAGCCAUAAUGCAUAGUUCAAUUUACUACUUCUUGACUAAACGGUUCUUCCAUGCAUUAAGACAAAAUAAAAAGAGGUGUAAAAGUGCUGUUUAAUGGUUUCCCUAUAACGGCAUUAGUGUGGGUGCAAGUGUCUCACUAAAUACAUAAAUGUAGAUAAUCCUUUCUUUCUAGCUCUCUUCUCCUAGGCUACAUUUUUUUUCCUUUACAACUCAUCCCUGGAGAAAUGUUCAUAGUGAAAAAUCAUUGCUAACUUCAUUUUUUUUUGCCUUCCCUGUGAAUUUCUUUCCUGGAGCAAUAAUAAGAAAUAAUGGGUGCAGUGCUUUCCUACAGAGUCUAUGGUAUAUAACAAACAGUCUGGUGUUUUAUUUGUUGUUGCCGUAUUUAAUUUAAGUGUAUUAAUUUUUCUCUUUGGCUUAUCUAUUUUCUUUCUAAGUGCAGAGGGCCUUCCAAACCUUUUGCUAAUAUCACUUUAGGAACCAGAUUGGCUUUGUAGUUAUGUAUAGAAAUUAAGAUUCAGGUCUCAAGUUUCACCCACUUCCUUUCUAGAUUAACUUCACCAUUUCCCCUUUUUCUCAAGCAGUCACCAAUGACAAGUUGAAGGUGUCCAGCUUAAUAAACCAACUGUAAACCAAUAUCAAUCAGAGCCUACAACUUCAACUGACAGAAGAAGAGAGAUGUUUUCUUGGUGUCUCUGAAAAGAAGACCAGCUGAGCCACAGAAAUCAGCCUUGCUGGUCUUAAUCCUUGUACCUCUCAAUUUACCUUUUUGUAAAAUGGUUGCAAUAUCUAAUUCACAAGGAAGGAGUGCUCAGUCUAUUUAAAGCUUGUGAAACAUUGCACAGCUCUGACUGGAUAGCAUUUGAUGAGUGUUAAGUUAAAUGACAGUAUUAUUUUCUGUCAUUGUGCUGUUGCUCUGCUUAGAGCAGAUUAGGAAAAAGCAGCUGGGUGGGCAGAUUCUCUUAUAAUAUCUGAGCAAAUUUAGCAAAUCCAAAGACAGAAAGAUUUCCUUAGUUACAUCUUUGUGACCCUGUUUUCUUCAUUUAUUCAGUUAGAAAGAGAGACAUUUGCAUUAUAAAUGGAAUUGCUAAUAACAGUGUUCAUUUUCAGUCUGUAGGUUCAUCGUUUUGACAAGCAGGGACUCUCAUUAAGCAAGGCUGGGAAAACGGAGACUGGAGAAGCUUGGUUUGCACCAUCUGCACCAGACUUGCUGGGACUUGCUCUGUGCAGACAGUCUCUGUGCACUGGGACGGAGGGACGAAGCAGAGCAGCCCAUGCUGCCCAGUGCUUAUGUGGUCGCUCCAGCUGAGCAAUGCGGUCUCAGAACACAAUUCAUCCUCGUUCAAGUGGCACUCAGGUUCAGUUCUUCAGAACUACUAUAAACACAGAAUCACUGUGUGAGCACUUCAUCCAGCAUAGAGGAGCUUCCAUUGCAUGGACAGAUGCUGUUUGAAGGAACGCUGAGAUUCUGGAGUGAAAGCUGCUAUAUAACUUCAAAACAUGGUUGAACAAGAAGUGGAGCAGCCUAAUGAAGCAUGGAUUCAGCUACUAAAGCUGGAGACUUUAUAAAUGUAAAGAAUUUUUUAUCAGGUAUUCAAAAUCUAGGUGACCCAUCAGGCCCUUGGUAGAUUGCUCCUGAAGUGACAAUACUCCAGUGCUUCCUCCAAGUGGAUGCCCAACAAGCAGGACAACAGUACAAGCAGCAGAACCUGAGGUGUUCGUCUGCAGCACAGUGUUUACUAAGAAUACUGAUUUAUUUCUUUUUCUUCACCUUCUAUUCCAGAUGGGAAGUUUACCUAGCCAGCUUAGUUUGUCUUUGCAGGUAUUUCUCACAUUACAUUCUUUUGAUGGCUGCAGAUUGUAGUGCAAUUAUAGUUUACAUUGUAUGAAAUUACUACUAUACUUUAUAAUCUUUUCAUUUCUAUAUUUAUUCUCAUGGCUGCAAACAAUAAUAAAGACUGGCUUUCUUUUCUUGGAGAAAAUUAAA